AAAUAUAUCACUCUCCAAUCCAUGGAAUUCUUCAGCAAAUUCCAAUGCUUUGUUUUGUUUAUGUUCUUCUUGACCAGAGGUAUAACCCUGGUUUACAUUUUUCUUUCUUUUUCUCACACAUUAAUAUUAAUUUUCCUGAUUUUGAUUUCACGAUUCAGGUAGUCUGCAGUGCUAUCCUGGAACCCUCAAGGACAUCACUAUUACACAAGUUAGAACCGGAGCGAAAAUGAUGAAUAAACCGGAGUGGAAAGUGACAGUCCAGCAAAAAUGUCAUUGUAGCUUUACAAAUGUGAAAGUACGUUGUCCCGGCUUUGAUUCCGUUGUUAAGCCGUCGCCUUUUAUUAUUUCCAAGUCAGGCCCGGACUUGUGCCUUCUUGACUACGGGAACUCUAUAGGAACAUUCCAUUUCACUUAUGGCUCAGAUCAACCGAUUGCAUUUGUUCCAUAUUCUUUCGUGGAAAAUUGCUCUUGAAUGAAUGAAUUGUUGUUGAUUGCUAGUCUUAUUAUAAUAAAACCUUGAAG
rnacentral:lncRNA from 1 species